rnacentral:lncRNA from 1 species
CGAGUUUCCACAACAUUGCGCAGCCUCUGGUAUUUGGUCUGUCUUGAUGUUUCUUGCAGUUGAAGAGCUCUCUGGGCUCUCUGCUGCAGACUGGAGACCGAGAAAUGGACCGUGAGCCGCUGGGCAGAGUGCCCUCUAGAGGUCUGGAGACUGUUCUAACUUUGACUCUAUAAAAGUUCACAAAGUCAGUGUGUGAUUUACCCUAAUAUCCUGUUAAGAUUGACUUCUUUGUCUAAAACUCUUCUCAGCCCCGUCUCCUCUCCCCAGUCGUUCCCGCUCCAGCUCUGUGGGCGAGUCUUUGGGUCUAGGUGGCAGCCGCUCAUUGAGGGCCAUUGUGUCCCAUCCCGCUUCAUCCAAUCCAGUCCUGCUGCCAUUUGCCCGUGGUGACAUGGUGACUGUGCUCAUACCAGAACCACGCAACGGUUGGCUGUACGGACGCCAUGACUCAAGCCUCCGUCAAGGCUGGUUUCCUGCUGCCUUUGUGACAUCUACUGAAGACAUUCUACCCUUGGGCUCAAGCACGUUGCACCGAAGCCACAGCAUGAACAACCUCCUGGAGCCAACCAGCCAAUCAGAAUAUUCAGACAACCAGGGCUACAGUGACAUCCCGUCCCCAGUGGUACCUAUGCGUCGCGCGUCGGCUGAUCUUCGCCCAAUCUCUCCCCUCCCUGAAAAGAAGGCGGAGUCUAACAACGAGGUCAAGACCAGCCAGAAAACCUACAAUGAGAUUCCGCCUCCAGCCGCACCGCUCCGUCGUGGAUCAGCUGAUAUUCGACCAAUAUCUCCCCUCCCUGACAGGAGGGCGGUGUCUCAUUUUGAGAGCAAAGUAGAGCACAAAAAUUAUAAUGAACUCCUACUUCCGGCUCCACCCCUUACAAACUCUCCUCUCCCUGAGCGAAAGACCGAAUCAACCUCUGAGAGGAUCAAAUCCUUUUGCCACAGUGAAGCUCCGUCCCACAGUCACCAAUGACAGAUCAGCACCACGGAUCCACAGACAGUCAUCGCAAAACAUCGCCUGCACUCUGACUGGUUCAGAGUCUGUACCAAAUGUCUCAAUUUGUUGAUAAGUGUACAAUUUAAGUCAACUUUAAUAUUAGAAUGAAAAGAGAUUUUUAAACUUAAUUUAAUGGCACUUUUUAAACUAACUUAGUAUUUAAUUUGAAUGGAUAUGUCCAGCUGUAUAACAUCACUCAGAG